rnacentral:rRNA from 1 species
AGUGAACGCUGGCGGUAGGCCUAACACAUGCAAGUCGAACGGCAGCACAGUAAGAGCUUGCUCUUACGGGUGGCGAGUGGCGGACGGGUGAGGAAUACAUCGGAAUCUACUUUUUCGUGGGGGAUAACGUAGGGAAACUUACGCUAAUACCGCAUACGACCUACGGGUGAAAGCAGGGGAUCUUCGGACCUUGCGCGAUUGAAUGAGCCGAUGUCGGAUUAGCUAGUUGGCGGGGUAAGGCCCACCAAGGCGACGAUUCGUAGCUGGUCUGAGAGGAUGAUCCGCCACACUGGAACUGAGACACGGUCCAGACUCCUACGGGAGGCAGCAGUGGGGAAUAUUGGACAAUGGGCGCAAGCCUGAUCCAGCCAUACCGCGUGGGUGAAGAAGGCCUUCGGGUUGUAAAGCCCUUUUGUUGGGAAAGAAAAGCAGCAGGUUAAUACCCCGCUGUUCUGACGGUACCCAAAGAAUAAGCACCGGCUAACUUCGUG